rnacentral:rRNA from 1 species
UACCGCGGUUAUACGAGAGGCCCAAGUUGAUAAGCUCCGGCGUAAAGCGUGGUUAAGGAAGAAAAUACACUAAAGCCGAACGCUUGCUAGGCUGUUAUACGCUUACGAAAGUAAGAAGCACACUCACGAAAGUGGCUUUAUUACACCUGAACCCACGAAAGCCAAGAUA